CCUACGGGAGGCAGCAGUCGGGAAUAUUGCGCAAUGGAGGAAACUCUGACGCAGUGACGCCGCGUAUAGGAAGAAGGUUUUCGGAUUGUAAACUAUUGUCGAUAGGGAAGAAAAAAGACUGUACCUAUCAAGAAAGCUCCGGCUAACUACGUGCCAGCAGCCGCGGUAAUACGUAGGGAGCAAGCGUUAUCCGGAUUUAUUGGGUUUAAAGGGUGCGUAGGCGGACGCUUAAGUCAGCGGUAAAAUUGCGGGGCUCAACCUCGUCGAGCCGUUGAAACUGGGUGCCUUGAGUGGGCGAGAAGUAC
rnacentral:rRNA from 1 species